CGAGAAGGCCCCGGAACGUGCUGGAUGAUGCUGGAACGUGCUGGAACACUCUAGAAGGCUAUUAUGACGGUCAGCGAGUGUCAUGAAAGGUCUAGUCCUCUCUAGAAUGUUCUAGGCUUCCUUGUUAUGUACCAAAUGAACUUGUAAUCUCUAGAAUCUCCCUUGGCCGACCUUCUAAGGCCCAAGGUCGGUGGGGAUGGUCUAUAAAUACUUGGGAGGGCCUCAUUUGUAUCAAGCCUUGCAACCUUGCAUCUUGGCAUGUCUUAGCCAAGCAAGGUCACCUUGCCACCCAAAGUCUCCUUGCCCAUGGUAUCCCCAUGACAAGAAGACAGCAUAUUUGUACCCAAAUAUGUAUUCAUCUAUUGUUGGAAUGCAAUGUAUCAUUCCAAAGACGUAUCCAUCCAAACUCCCUCAUCCUUCCAACCUCUCUCGUGUCUUGCAACCAACCUUAGUACUUCCGCUGCAACCCGUUGUCGUAGUGCUUGGCGCACUACCCCUUCCGGGAAAGGCUUACUUGGCUACGUGGGCAUUGUAGUUAGCCAAGUGCCGCACGUAUGGUUAGCUUCAGAUCCUAACCACGUGACAUGAGGCAUGCAUACUACCAAAUAUACUAUAAAUAAACCAUAAUUCUUUUUUAAGAAAUUAAACAACUAAUUAAAUAUAAAGAAGAAAGAUUAGAAAAUGAAUGAUCAAACAAACUAUGACUCAUUUAUUUUUGACAGGUUCGGCCAGUAUCACCUGACAAUUCAUUUUCACCAAGAAAAAUAAACAUGAGUAGC
rnacentral:lncRNA from 1 species